ACCGGACCGAAUCCAAAAAAAAGCUAGCGGUCGGUUUUAUUCGGUUCAGCGGGUUCAGCGGGUGAACCAAACGGUUUAUUUUGGGUCUGCACGGUCGGGUUCGGUUGGAUUAAUUGGGCCCGUCGGACCCCGAACCCGACCGAUACUAAUUACUAUAUGUAACAGCUACUGGUAAUGGCCCAACCCAGUGCAAAGAAUUCUCUGGCCCAAUUGAUUUUCUCAAACCCUAACCUAAUAAACACAACAUACAAAUACCAGAUCUCAGAAAAUUUCCCAAUUCGUUUUCACUUCUUCUUCGCCGCCGCUGCCGUCACCAUGCCUUGAAACCUAACCCUAAACAACUCAUGCAUCUUUGCCGUCACCACUAACCACGCCACUCUUCCCUCAUCUUCACAUCAUCACUGUAAUCUCAAGCUAGCUGUCUAUGUUUGUCCAACCUCGAAUCUCAGCAUUCAACUUCCAAAAUCACGAGCAAGAAGAGCUUUAUGUUCUUUUUAAGGGUUUGUGUUUGGUGAACUUUGUUUGGUGAACGGUUGAAACUUACUAAAGUUUUCAGAAAUUACAUGGUCUUAAAAAAGUGUGAGAUCUAUAUUUUCUGUUAUGUAACUCUUACUUUUUAAUGGUAGACUGCAAAUUUCUUGUGUUCUGAAAAUAUAUGUAAAUCACUUUACAUGGAAGGGCCUAUGAGAAUGCAGGGAGUUGAAUCUGAAAACGUCUAAUAGCGAGAACAAUUUAUUUUUCUAUGUUUGAAGUAUUACUGUUAAUAGCCUUUUAAUUAUAAGACUGAAGAUUUAUGACUUAUGUUUCAUAGAAAUUAUGUUGGAUAAUGCUGAGAAACUUUAUAUUUAUUAAGAAUCAUCUUUCCUUGUUGCAGCUUAUUUUAGCAUACGAUGAAACACAGUGCAGUAUCCAUGAAAAUGGAUUUUUUUGCAUGAAUUAGUUGUAGGAAGGAAAUAUGGACAAAACACAUUUUAUGUUACAAUAUGACUAUAUGACUGAUUCUAUAUUUGAAUGUUUCUAUAAUUUGUAAAAAAAUUUGUCUAUUAUGUUUUCUAAUUUUAUCUUACAAUAUAACUAUAUGACUGAUUCUAUAUUUGAAUGUUUCUAUAAUUUGUAAUAAAAUUAUAAAAUUUGUCUAUAAAAUUAUAAAAUGGCUCAAAAUAGCCUUCUGUACAAAUAAUUAAUACUGUUUUAUCCAAAUAAUUAAUUUUAUUAAAAAACUGAUUAAUUUUUUAUCUUUAAAAUUUAAAUACAAAUUCAGAGUUUUUAAUUGGACUUGAAAUUUGGGGGCCCAACGACACAUUAGAAACUGGAUUUUUUAUUUGGACUUUAGUUUAUAUUGGCCCAACAACAAAAGAUAUCCGAAAUUAACCGAAGCAGUUACCCGAACCCGCUCUAACCCGAACCCGAAAAUCCGAUUAUUAAAUUUGGUCGGUAUUGGGCCUAAUAAUGUCAUCCGAGGGUUGGGCCGGAUUGAGGUUUUAGGCCCGAACCCGAACCGGCCCGAACCGAUGUCCACCCCUAAUUCGACCAUCUUGAACAAUCUGGCCCGGACGGAUUCGCUCUCUCGAAACAACCAACGGAUAAAUGAAAAUGCUCUACUUAUUCCAACGCAUUUUAAAAAAACUACAACUGUCCUAAGAUUCACAUAAGCAUAGUCUUUCAAUCUUAUAACUAGCUAGAGUAGCAUUUUAAAUGCGUAAGAACUCCAAAUUUCCCUGAGAAGAUUCAAGAUCUUGGGACCUCUACUCCAGUGUUCUCGACACAUGCAUCAAUUGACCACCGGAA